GUGUGGUGAUGCACGCCUGUAGUCCCAGCUACUCAGAAGGCUGAGGCAGGGGAAUCACUUGAAGGUGGCAGAGGUUGCAGUGAGCCGAGAUGGUGCCACUUGCACUCCCACCUGGGCAACAGAGCAAGACUCCAUCUCAAAAAAAAAAAGGGGAGAGAGAGAGAAAAAGAAAAGGAAGGAAGGAAGAAAGAAAGAGAGAAACUAGAAAACAAAGCAAGUGCUAAUAAACGGGUAUAGGCCAGUUUAUCUUGAUGUGCAUGAAGUCACCUGGCAAUUGGAUGAAAUGCAGAAGAGGCUUGGGAUUCUGCAUCUUUAACAAGCCCCCAAGUGAUGUUGAUAUUGCUAACCCUGAACUGCACUUUGAAUAAAGAGAAUCUUGACCACAGAGUACCAAGGAAAGCAUAAACCUCUUUAGGUUUAGAACUGAUGAAUGAGCACUUAAAAUAGCGACUUGGACCAUUGGAACUUUUAUUUUGCGUCUUCUCUAAAAAAAUAAUCGUUACUUGCUGGAAAAAAAUC
rnacentral:lncRNA from 1 species